GCCAAAUCUAAUUAAAAGAAAACAGGAAAGUUCACACAAAGUGACCCAUACUUGCCAGUCACAUAUUUGGUUGGAUAGUCCUAAUUUUGUGCCCCUGUCUUGUCAGUCCAAUAUUGUUUCCAACACUGAGCUUUAUAUGGCUAUAUUUUUCCUCAUUUGGUUGUCCCGCUGGGCAGCCUGUCAGCCUAAUAAGAAUGUAUGAGAUGCCCAUUUACU